AGGACGAACGCUGGCGGCGUGCUUAACACAUGCAAGUCGAACGGAAAGGCCCUUUCGGGGGUACUCGAGUGGCGAACGGGUGAGUAACACGUGGGUGAUCUGCCCUGCACUUUGGGAUAAGCCUGGGAAACUGGGUCUAAUACCGAAUACACCUUGCUGGCUGCAUGGCCUGGUGGGGGAAAGCUUUUGCGGUGUGGGAUGGGCCCGCGGCCUAUCAGCUUGUUGGUGGGGUGAUGGCCUACCAAGGCGACGACGGGUA
rnacentral:rRNA from 1 species